UACGUAUGGGGCAAGCGUUAUCCGGAUUUACUGGGUGUAAAGGGAGUGUAGGCGGCCUGGCAAGCCUGAUGUGAAAUACCGGGGCCCAACCCCGGGGCUGCAUUGGGAACUGCCAGGCUGGAGUGCCGGAGAGGCAGGCGGAAUUCCUAGUGUAGCGGUGAAAUGCGUAGAUAUUAGGAGGAACACCAGUGGCGAAGGCGGCCUGCUGGACGGUGACUGACGCUGAGGCUCGAAAGCGUGGGGAGCAAACAGG
rnacentral:rRNA from 1 species